AGAAGAUGGUAAGCGCACACGGUGGAUGCCUUGGCACAGGAAGCCGACGAAGGACGUGACAAGCUGCGAUAAGCCGCGGUUAGGGGCACAUGCCCGCCAGACCCGCGGAUCUCCGAAUGGGCGAACCCGCCGGGACCAGAGGCCCGGCACCCCGCGCCGAACACAUAGGCGCGGAGGAGGCAACCUGGGGAACUGAAACAUCUCAGUACCCAGAGGAAGAGAAAUCAACCGAGAUUCCCCCAGUAGUGGCGAGCGAACGGGGAAGAGGCCAAACCGGCGGGCGCUUCGGCCCCGCCGGGGUUGUAGGGCCGGUCGUCGCGCAGUGACAAAUCCCCGCGGGAGCGGAACGGCCUGGGAAGGCCGGCGAGACAGGGUUAGAGCCCCGUACGCGAACCCGCAGGGACUGCCGACCGGUCCCUGAGUACCGCCGGACACGUGAAACCCGGUGGGAAGCUGGGGGGACCACCCUCCAAGCCUAAAUACUCUCCUGUGACCGAUAGCGGACGAGUACCGUGAGGGAAAGGUGAAAAGCACCCCGGGAGGGGAGUGAAACAGUACCUGAAACCGUGUGCGUACAAGCAGUCGGAGCGCCCCUCGGGGCGUGACGGCGUGCCUUUUGUAGAAUGAGCCAGCGAGUUACGGUGUGCGGCGAGGUUAAGCUUUGAAGCGAGCCGCAGCGAGAGCGAGUCCCAACCGGGCGCUUGAGUCGCGCGCCGUAGACGCGAAGCCGGGUGAGCUAUCCGUGGGCAGGCUGAAACGGGGGUAAGACCCCGCGGAGGGCCGAACCCACCUAGGUUGAAAACUGGGGGGAUGACCUGCGGAUAGGGGUGAAAGGCCAAUCAAACCCGGAGAUAUCUCGUUCUCCCCGAAAUAGCUUUAGGGCUAGCCCCGGGCGUUUGCCUGCGGAGGUAGAGCACUGAAUGGGUGCGGGGGCCUCACCGCCUACCAAGUCCAAUCAAACUCCGAAUGCCGCAGGCCCAGAGCCCGGGAGUCAGAACAUGUGGGCUAAGCCGUGUGUUCGAGAGGGAAACAGCCCAGACCGCCCGCUAAGGUCCCCAAGUCCGUGCUGAGUGGCAAAGGAUGUGCGUUUGCUCAGACAACCAGGAUGUUGGCUUAGAAGCAGCCACCCAUUCAAAGAGUGCGUAACAGCUCACUGGUCGAGUGGACAUGCGCCGACAAUAUACGGGGCUAAGCACGGUACCGAAGCGGCGGACCCGCGCGCGAGCGCGGGUGGUAGGGGAGCUUUCCGUCCGGGGCGAAGCGAGGGGGCGACCCCCCGUGGACCGGCCGGAAGUGAGAAUGCUGGCAUGAGUAGCGAGAGGGGCGUGAGAAACGCCCCCGCCGUAAACCCAAGGUUUCCUGGGCAAGGCUAAUCCUCCCAGGGUCAGUCGGGUGCUAAGGCGAGGCCGGAAGGCGUAGCCGACGCGCAGCAGGCAGACAUUCCUGCACCCCCGACGCGGCGCCAUCACCGACGGGGUGACGGAGAAGGGUAGCUCAGCGGGGUUCUGGACGUCCCCGUGAGGCCACGUAGGCCGGGCGGCUGUGAAACGCGCCGCCCGCGAGGGCUGAGGUGGCUGACGAAGCGACUGGGUGAAGUGAGUGAGCCCAUGCUCCCGAGAAAAACCCCUAGGGAUGCCGCGCGGGGCCCGUACCGCAAACCGACACAGGUGGGUGGGUAGAACAUACCAAGGCGAUCGGGAGAACUAUGGUUAAGGAACUCGGCAAAACUGCCCCGCAACUUCGGGAGAAGGGGUGCCGCCGCCGGUGGAGGGGCUUGCCCCCCGAGCUGGUGGCGGCCACAGUGAAGAGGUCCAAGCGACUGUUUAUCAAAAACACAGGACUCUGCUGAAGUCGUAAGACGACGCAUAGGGUCUGACGCCUGCCCGGUGCCGGAAGGUCACGAGGAGCCGUCAGCGAGAGCGAAGCGGCGAAUCCAAGCCCCGGUAAACGGCGGCCGUAACUAUAACGGUCCUAAGGUAGCGAAAUUCCUUGUCGGGUAAGUUCCGACCUGCACGAAAGGCGUAACGA
rnacentral:rRNA from 1 species